CAGCAGAAAUUAUGAUGUUCUCGGGAGAGAAAUGAUUGGUUUUCAGUUACACACUGCUACAGGUGGAAGUCAUCAGAAAACUGUAAUGCCAGCAUAUGGAUAACCUGCAAGGCAGCAUAACGGUAUCUUUUCAAGGAGCCAGAUUUGAAAGCUAAUGAUCUCAGUCUCAUAACCAGCCUCCCCAUCAGUCUCCACUGGGACGUAUGGCAAAGCAAACAGACCGACAAACCAAAAUAAUGAAGCUGCAUCUGCCACAAGAGGAAGAACCCGGAAGAUCAGUGUUAGAGGUUACUGAGAUCCUCCUAAGUCAUCUCCCAGUUUCCAAAGCAGUUUGCACACAUGACUUUAUCCUGCGUCACAUCAAGCCUGUGAUACAGAUGGAGCAGGGUCACCACCCUCAUUCUUGAUCACCUGAUCACCUUUUGCUCAGAGAGGAUGCAAAAUCCCAGACCCAGUGCUCAAGGAACAGGAUGGAUCUGUACAAUGUUUCUGACCACAGCAUGCACGUGGGAAGGGCCACACCACACUCCACAUGGUGUGGUAGGUAGACAGAGCAGGAGCCCUUGGAACUGCUGGUCCAAUUACCAGCUCGGGAGGUAAGUAGAGCUGCUUCCAGAAAAGGAGAAAUCCUUUAAAUCCUGUUCUACUCUCAACUCAUUCUACAAAUGUUUCUUGCAGGCCUCGUUUGGUCCUACCCUUAAGGGAAGUGGAGACCCCAUCCUUCUCUAAACAUGUACCGCUUCCCUCUGCUUACAUGGAGGAAAAAAAACAGAUCCUGUGCUAUCUUCGAGUAGGUGAUCAAAUUCUACUGAGACUACUUCUUAGAAAAGUGGUUUCUCUCUUUCCAAGGUAUAAUAUACAACAAGUUAUUUAUAUGUUCUACUCUUGUCUCUUGAGUAGCUAUUACAAACUGUGCUGCUAUGAAUACUUUUGUACAACAGUGUGCAAGUGUUUCUCCAAGAUGUAUAUUAAAAGGUAAUGUUUAGAAUCAUGAAAGUGUGUGAGUGUUUAAAGUUACUAAGAAAUCCUGAAAGUGAAUGAGGAGGGUUCUACUGUCGUCACAACCUCACAAUAAUUUUUGGUUUGGGAGCUUUGGUGAGUAGGUAAUGGUAUCUCAUGGUUUUAAUUUUCAUUCCCCUGAA
rnacentral:lncRNA from 1 species